GCUGGUUUCCAGGGCUGAUCUUGCGGCCAACUCGCCCCAAUGUAAGAAAUUGGAGAAAAAACAACAAUAAAACAAGAAAAACUCAAAAAGGUGGCAGCUUUGAUUAGGCAUACUCUCACAUAGUUCACCCUAAACACACUUAGUCUGCCCUAGUUGAAAAGUCACCGAAAGACGGCGAAGCCUACAGUUGAUCAGAACAGCUCCACCUAAGCAUACCGUGCUAAGCCGUGCUGCUUCUUAUCACAACGCUUGCACAACCAGGAAGUUUCUGCCGAGACCUAUGCAAUUAAAGACGUGCACAUUCUUCGGACAACGACAGCAAUAGAUCUUGCUUACACCAUAAAGUCGCUACAAGGAGCAAGAUGAAAGAAUUAUCCAGGAAGAGGUAGAACGGCCGUCAGAACAGUCCACCCUACUGUAGACGUGUAGGGUACUACUGUGGGUGCAUCUGUCUCCAAUCCAUCCCCCUUAGCUGCUCUUCAGUGAAAAUAUCAAGUCAUUGGCUGCUAAGCUCUGGUUAACUGAAAAGUACAGGUAAGUAAGGAGCCAACACCCAGGACCCAGCAGUAAGGAGCCAACACCCAGGACCCAGCAGUAAGGAGCCAACACCCAGGACCCAGCAGUAAGGAGCCAACACCCAGGACCCAGCAGUCAGGGGCCAACACCCAGGUCCCAGCAUUAAGGGGCCAACACCCAGGUCCCAGCAGUAAGGAGCCAACACCCAGGACCCAGCAGUAAGGAGCCAACACCCAUGACCCAGCAGUAAGGAGCCAACACCCAGGACCCAGCAGUCAGGGGCCAACACCCAGGUCCCAGCAUUAAGGGGCCAACACCCAGGUCCCAGCAGUAAGGAGCCAACACCCAGGACCCAGCAGUCAGGGGCCAACACCCAGGUCCCAGCAUUAAGGGGCCAACACCCAGGUCCCAGCAGUAAGGAGCCAACACCCAGGUCCCAGCAGAAACGGGCCAUCACCCAGGUCCCAGCAGUAAGGGGCCAACACCCAGGUCCCCGCAGUAAGGGGCCAACACCCAGGUCCCCGCAGUAA